UUGUAGAUGCUGCACAUGGGCAGAGUUUGUCAGAAAAAUUACCCAGGAACCCUCUGGUGGAUUUGAGGAAAAAUGACCAGAAACAUUCCUGUUGUGUUCAUGUUUCUGAAUCUGGUUCUGCUCAGCCUCAACGAGUUAAUAAACACAAGAGACAUCAAAGGUACAUCCCAGCUGGAUUCCUGUUGAUCUUGGCAACUGGUGGCCAGGGACAAUUCAUUUCCAAAGAACAAAAUCCCAACGUAGGAAAAAGCGCCUAGGACUUCCACAGGUAUCUGCUAUGAUAAAGCUGCGAGGGGGACCUUGGCGGAUCCCAUGGCAAGGAGGAUGACCGAGGGACAAACAUGCCAGGCAGACGUUUAAGCCUGUGAUCCUCUACGUAGGAUUGAAAAGAAAAUUUUCAUCUGCAAUCUUAGCCCUGCUGAGAUGAAACAAGAAUUCCAGACUGAAGGUGGGUAAAUUAACUAGGUCUUCCUAAUGAGAAAGUUGACGGUGGCUUGUAUUAGUCUGGGUACUCAAGAAAAUCAGAAGCAAUACAAUCCACAGGGGUAGAAGAGAAAGGAUGUAUUAUGGAAUCAAUCACAUGACUGUGGAGGCUGAAAGACCCAUGAUAGGCCAUCUGCAAGCCGGAGAGCCAGAGUCGCCAGUGGUGGGACUCAUAUGCAAAGACCUGAGGUCCCAGAAGCCAAUGGUGUAACCCCCAGGCUAGAGC